rnacentral:misc_RNA from 1 species
GUUGUCCUCCUACUUAUUGGAUGGUCAGUGGAACUUUAUAUCUUUCCUGUGUGGUCCUUGGCUGAUGGCAGCAAAUCCUAAUUUAUAUGCCCGUUCUAACUGUUUUUGACUGUGUACUAUCAAGUGUAACUUAUUUAAUCCAUAUUUUGGGGCAGUUACAGUUUCUGAGUUGCAUCCCUCUAUGUAAUCUUUUGUUGGUUUUGGCAGUGUUAAUUUGGUUUAUUGGUUAUU